UCUCUUCUUUUCCGAGGCUUCUUGGAGAUUUGUGAGGUAGCUGUUUGUCAACUCAACAGACCUUCUUACUCAUGUUUAUGAUCUUGUUCUACUCUAGAAACAAUGUCAUAUGAGACUUGUGUUUUUCCUUUGAAUCAGUUGUAAUACUUUAGAGGCUUGUACACGUGACAACCAGAUUUUGGGGGUAUUUUUGAGUUGAU
rnacentral:lncRNA from 1 species